UACGUAGGGUGCGAGCGUUAAUCGGAAUUACUGAGCGUAAAGCGUGCGUAGGCGGUUCUGCAAGUCAGAUGUGAAAUCCCAGGGCUUAACCUGGGAAUUGCGCUUGUUACUGGCAGACUUGAGUGUGGCAGAGGGGGGUGGAAUUCCAAGUGUAGCAGUGAAAUGCGUAGAUAUUUGGAGGAACACCGAUGGCGAAGGCAGCCCCCUGGGUUAACACUGACGCUCAUGCACGAAAGCGUGGGGAGCAAACAGG
rnacentral:rRNA from 1 species